rnacentral:rRNA from 1 species
ACGUAGGGAGCGAGCGUUAUCCGGAUUCAUUGGGCGUAAAGCGCGCGUAGGCGGAUGCCUAAGCGGGACCUCUAACCCGGGGGCUCAACCCCCGGCCGGGUCCCGAACUGGGCGUCUCGAGUGCGGUAGGGGCAGGUGGAAUUCCAUGUGUAGCGGUGGAAUGCGCAGAUAUAUGGAAGAACACCGACGGCGAAGGCAGCCUGCUGGGCCGACACUGACGCUGAGGUGCGAAAGCGCGGGGAGCGAACAG